CUCGCCCACUUAGUCACAAGUAGGUGCUUCUACAUCCUCCCAAGCCAAGUCUUCUACUAGUGUGAGUGGAUCCCUUAGGAUGGCCACCAUUCCUUUCCAUUGUUUCCCAGGUUGGACCUAUCCUAAUGUGACCCAUCCUAGUAUCCCUCAGCUCCUGGAGUGUUGACUAGACAGAGACACUACUCUCGGACUACCCCUUCUAUUUAACUAUGUGUCUCCGAAGGUCUAUUCUGAGCUCAGGAGAAUGCACACGAGUCUUUAUGAGGUGGUGGUUGACAAGAUGCAGAUUGAGGUUCUCACAUAAAGGCUGGAAAGUUUGGCAUUAGCAUCUACUAGCCUUCCUACUUUCCACAAUGACACCGAGCAUGGUUCAGAUAAGGAUCUUGACUUCUAGGGAUUUGUUUCAACAAUUCCUGUAAACACAAAUACAUGCAUAUCUUCCCC